UUCGGAAAUUUCGGUCUGAAAUUUUAAACACUCGCGACCCUACUGGCCGCGGCCGGAGCUAGGGUUCCUCCUCGCCGGGGGGAGGGAGGGAGGGAGAGCGGCCGGCGCCCGGGCUACCAGCGACACGCUCGUCGUCUCCCUCCUCGUCAGAGCGUGCUGGAGCUGCAUUUCACAAGAGAUCUGAACGAACCUGCAACGUUGUUUUACGGGCCAGUCUCAAGCAUCCAGAAAAUAUGCCCUUGUUCUGAUCAAUAGGUCGAAGCUGAACCUGGAAAUGACUUUUCUGCUCUGAGAGCAGAGGAUGCGAUACUUUAUGAAAGACAUUACAAAUGCUUUCAAUAGCUUUGUGAAACAUAUCCACAAAAGAAUCCCUGAAAGAAAGGGGAUGGAUAUGGAGCACACCAUUACAACCACCACCUCCCUUGAAUGAGUAAAGAUGAGAUUCAGAAUGCUCCUGAUAUAAUGGAUAUGAUAGCAGAGAUGCUGAAUUCUUUAUACCCUGGAAACAGAGAGUUGCAGAGAAUUCAUUAAUCUUGGCUUCUUGUUUUAUUUUGAGAAGAAUAACUUCACCCACUGUAUAUUUCCCUCUGCCCCUCUCAUCCUCUCAAUUCUCCUACUCUCAUGUUUUGAAGCUUGAGCUCUCCCAUGGUUGAUAAGCUCCUCGACACAUUAACAGAACAAGAACAGAUCUUGCUAGCAAGUAAACAACAAGUACAGAUACAUUGCACUAGAAGUCCUACUUACAUGCAAC